GCAGAAACUGUGGAGGUAAAUAUCCUCAUGAAGGAGAAUGUCCUGCUAGAAGCAAACAAUGCAGAAACUGUGGUAAGCUGAAUCACUUUGCUAAACAAUGUCGCUCUAAAAUCAGGGACAUUAGCGCAAAACAACCACAGUACAAGGCAAACCAACACCAUAAAAAAGUCCAUCACAUAACAAAGACACCAGGUGAAGAACAGGAACGCAACUCUUCCAGCAGUGAUGACGCUUAUGUGUUUGUAGUAGAUGCUGAAAAGGUCUCAGAGCUGCCACAGACACACAUUAGGUUAAAUGGCAGUAGCAUGGUAGUUUUAAUUGAUUCAGGAGCCUCUGCAAACUGUGUUAGUGAAACAAGCUUCGAGAAACUGAUGCCACGUCCUCAACUGAACCACACCAGCACCAAGAUUUACCCGUUUCGCUCCAAAGUUCCAUUACCACUCAAAGGUAGUUUCAAGUGCAGUGUGGAGAAAGGACAGGAAAACACAACGUGCACAUUCUUUGUAGUUGAAGGGGAUGGAUUUAACGUGCUCAGCUACAAAACAUCUAAAGCACUGGGACUGAUUAAAAUAGUCACAGCAGUGUCGUCCACACAACAGCGUCGCACAGUCGCAGAUGAGCUGGUGGAAAAUCAUCCGGAACUGUUUCAGGGGAUCGGAAAACUGAAGGACUUUCAGGUAAAGCUUCACAUAAAUCCUGACAUCAAGCCUUCGUGCCAACCACAUUGACGUGUACCGUUCCACAUUCGUCAAAAGGUCGAAGAUGAGCUUCUGAAACUCGAGGCAGAUGACAUCAUUGAGGAGGUCAAUGGCCCGACACCGUGGGUCUCACCCAUCGUUGCACCUCCCAAGCCUAAAGACCCUGACAAAGUCAGACUUUGUGUUGAUAUGCGCCAAGCUAACACAGCUAUAGAGAGAGAACGGCACAUAACUCCCACCAUGGACGACGUGAUACACGAGCUAAACGGAGCAACAGUGUUUUCAAAACUGGAUUUGAGAGCUGGAUACCACCAGCUAGAGCUUCAUCCAGACAGCAGUAUUUCAAAAUGCUAUAUGCCAGACACUGCAAGGUCUCUCUGGUGUGAAGAACCUCAGCGACGACAUCAUUGUCUACGGAGCCUCCCAGACUGACCAUGACAACAACCUCCGAGCACUGUUCCAGAGACUCAGGGAAAGCGGUCUCACACUCAAUCGGGAAAAAUGUGAGUUCAAUAAGUCAAGGCUUGAGUUUUUUGGUUUCAUCUUCUCAGCAGGAGGUGUUUCAGCAGAUCCCAAGAAGGUGAUUGCAGUUCAGCAGGCUGCAGACCC
ensembl:lncRNA